rnacentral:rRNA from 1 species
GACGAACGCUGGCGGCGUGCUUAACACAUGCAAGUCGAACGCUGAAGCCCUUCGGGGUGGAUGAGUGGCGAACGGGUGAGUAACACGUGGGUAAUCUGCCCUGCACUCUGGGAUAAGCCUUGGAAACGGGGUCUAAUACCGGAUAGGACACAUCGCCGCAUGGUGUGUGUGUGGAAAGUUCCGGCGGUGCAGGUUGAGCCCGCGACCUAUCAGCUUGUUGGUGGGGUGAUGGCCUACCAAGGCGACGACGGGUAGCCGGCCUGAGGGGGUGACCGGCCACACUGGGACUGUGACACGGCCCAGACUCCUACGGGAGGCAGCAGUGGGGAAUCUUGCGCAAUGGGCGAAAGCCUGACGCAGCAACGCCGCGUGGGGGAUGACGGCCUUCGGGUUGUAAACCUCUUUCGACCGGGACGAAGGAUUCGUUUGACGGUACCGGUAGAAGAAGCACCGGCUAACUACGUGCCAGCCGCCGCAGUAAUAC